rnacentral:rRNA from 1 species
UACGUAGGCAGCGAGCGUUGUUCGGAGUUACUGGGCGUAAAGCGUGCGUAGGCGGUGUCUUAAGUUUGUUGUGAAAUCUCCCGGCUUAACCAGGAGGGUGCGGCGAAUACUGAGAUGCUGGAGUGCCGGAGAGGUAAGCGGAAUUCCUGGUGUAGCGGUGAAAUGCGUAGAUAUCAGGAGGAACACCUGCGGUGUAGACGGCUUACUGGACGGUAACUGACGCUGAGGCACGAAAGCGUGGGUAGCAAACAGG